AACACCCAAUGCUCAAAAUUAAAACCCAACCGAAUAUUAUUUUUUUUCCUAAACCAAAUUUAAAUCUAAAACCCAAAAUAAAAAACCUAAAACCAAAAAACCCAAAAUCGUAACCGAAAACUCAAUCUAAAACCAAUUUGAAUCAAAAAGAUAUAAUGUAGGAAAAAAUAAAAAAAAAUAAGUUAGACACAUUUGAUCGUUGGAUCUAG
rnacentral:lncRNA from 1 species